rnacentral:rRNA from 1 species
AUUGAACGCUGGCGGCAUGCUUUACACAUGCAAAUCGAACGGUAACAGGCCGCAAGGUGCUGACGAGUGGCGAACGGAUGAGUAAUGCAUCGGAACGUGCCCAGUCGUGGGGGAUAACGCAGCGAAAGCUGUGCUAAUUACACAUACGAUCUAUGGAUGAAAGGGGGGGACCGUAAGGCCUUGCGCGGUUGGAGCGGCUGAUGGCAGAUUAGCUAGUGAGUGGGGUAAAGCCCAACAAGGAGACGAUCUGCAGGUGGUCUGAGAGGACGACCAGACAAACUGGGACUGAGACACGGCCCAGACUCCUACGGGAGGCAGCAGUGGGGAAUUUUGGACAAUGGGCGCAAGCCUGAUCCAGCAAUGCCGCGUGCAGGAAGAAGGCCUUCGGGUUGUAAACUGCUUUUGUACGGAACGAAACGGUCUGGGUUAAUACCUCGGGCUAAUGACGGUACCGUAAGAAUAAGCACCGGCUAACUACGUGCCAGCAGCCGCGGUAA